GCAUCCAUGGCUGAAUGGUUAAAGCGCCCAACCUAUACCAACCUAAUAAAGAGGCAAAUUCGUAGGUUCGAUUGCUGCUGGAUGCA
rfam:Gossypium hirsutum cultivar TM-1 chromosome 10, whole genome shotgun sequence